GGGGGAAAGUCUCCCUGACAACAACGAUAUUUACCCAUGUGCAAAGAUGAUAGACAGAGUCACUUUGGCAUCUUGACAAUUCAGACACUGCACUCCGCGGUUUUGCCUUCCUGGCUGCUUUUUCCCAAGUCCAUAUAUAAAACAAGAAUGAAAAUCAUUCAAGUGGUAAAUUACUCUCCCUGGAAAGAAGCCUUCAGUUUGACCAGUAUACAAAUGAGGUUUGAGAACGGAGAUGUGGAAUAUUUUUUUGCUCACUUUCCCGCUGAUGACAACAGGAAUCACUUCCACAUGCUAGAAUUUCAAAAGGGGAUUGUAACCUACAGGUUGUGGAACUCCUUUCAGUUCCUCAAAGGUAUCCUGUUCUCUUUUCUCUCCUGGACUUUGCAUUUAAAUCAGACUACUGGAAAAUGGACAAGAUGCAUACAGGCAAUGCUGCCCGGCAUGCUUCAUUUAGUUCUGCAAUAAACAGAGCAUGCAGCAUGGUGGUGGAUCUCACUUGAGUCCCCGAGGAAACAUCCCACAGGAAAUGAUGAAAAAUAAUAAGAGUGUUACAUGUAUUGGAGCAUGUACCAGGCAGAGGAGAUGGAAAACACAGGGGCGGGAAGAAGCAGUGACUGUGUCUCAUCUACCUGCAGAUUUACAGGGAAUCUCACUUUUACAUUCUUGUAACCACUCUUGAAAUUAAAGAUAAAUUAAAAAAAAAAAAAAAAACAUUGAAACUGCAGUGAACUCAAGUCAACUGAAAGUUACCCAUUUACAGGCUCCUCUUUCUGGAAUUAUUUUCUUCUUACCCACUGGAGGUGAAGGCUGACCACACUUUAGAAGAUUUUGAGAACUUGAGACACAUAAAGUUGCAGAAUAUAGUCCAUAAUCUGAGACAUGUUACAGCAAAAGUAUCUCGUAACUCCUUGAUCUGAAAUGUGAGUGCUUAUUUACAAGCUGCUUACCUCCAAAAUGUUUUAGCAGGUAUUAU
rnacentral:lncRNA from 1 species